AUUCAUUUAGAUUGAUACAAUCACUUUAGUUCAUAAUAUUAUUUUCUAGGCAUUUUACCUCAUUGUUAAUCUAACUAGUAUGGUCAAAAAUUUUUAAAUAUAUUUACCCUUUUUAUAUAUAAUUAAAAAUAAAAAAUUUGGAAUGGUUAUUAUUCUUUUUUUCACUUUAAGAGAUCGAAAAACAUAAAAAUAAAAGGAUUUUCUCAAAUUUCUUUUUUUUCGCACUUAUUAAUACUAGGAAAAGAAAAAGGGAUAGAAAAGAAGAAGAAAGAAAAUUAGAUUUUGCAAAGAAAGAAAAUAAAGAAAAGUCUAACAUUACCGUAUUACUUUAAGAUUGUCGGGAUUAGGAUUGGAAUUUGGUAGUAAACAGAAAAGUGAAAUAAUUUUAAAAUAAUAAAAGUAUUUAAUUCUUUCUUAUUUGUAAUUUUUUAAAAAAGAAUUGAGCUCUCUCCCUCUCCCCCUCCUUCUCUCCAUCUUUCUAUUCUUUUUGGAUAUUAAUAAGAUUGCCAAGAAUAAGGAAAUUAAUAUUUUAACUUUUUUCUUUAUUUAAAAAGGAGAAGAGCCACUCUAAAAUUUUUUAUUAUUUUUAUUAUGCGAAGAGGAGGGUAUUUUCUUCUAAAAUUUUUUAACUUGCUAAGUUGGUUUACUUGUAGGAUAAAUUGUCUAAAAAAUAACUCUAGGGGAUAAAUUGAUAAUGAGACUUUAGUUUAUGGGGGUAAAGUGAUAAUAAUUUAAGGAUUAAACAUGUCUUUUUACUUUAAUUAAUAAAUUUCGUUAAGUUUGACCGUUAGUCUUGGGGUAAAGUGGCUAAAAGAUAACAUUAAGAAGGAAAUUGAUAGUGGGGAAAAAGUGAUAAUAACCCGAAAUAGAAUAGGGGCAAACUUUUUCUUGGAUGUCCUAGAAAUUUUGGUUGGCUGUAUUGGUUGAGAAUAUGUUAGUAGUAUUAAGAGUUAUAACUGCCUUUCAACAUUCUAAACGAGGUUGUUAGCUCCACUUCAUGAUUAAUUCAUCACCAAAUUAAACACAUCCAAGUGUUUCUACUUCUUUAGAAGAAGAAAAUAUAAUAUGUUGACAAAAGAUAGGGGCCCUACUGCACUUUGACUCUCUUUUGCACAAAUUUUUGUUCUACUGUCCUGCUAGAGCUGCUGGUCUUCGUGUGCAUUGACAAAACUCUUGAGCUUCGUCCUACGAUGAAAAAAAAAAAAAAA
rnacentral:lncRNA from 1 species